GAUCACCUGACAUUUUGAUCACGACAGUGCAGCUCUUUCCGGGACGUCAGCUCUGAGUCCAGCCUCUCCUCACUCUGCUGUAGACGCUUGCGGAGGAACUCAUUUUCCAUCUGAGCACAGUCAAGACGCAUCUGCCACUCAUCUGCUGUGUCACAGAGUCAGGAGGCCGCGUGAGUGCAAAGCAAGAGUAAAACUGGCCAUCUGCUACUUUCUCAGCUUUUUGCGUGGAAUUUCACAGUAUUAAUGCAGCCCUUAAACCUCAAUUUGGGGUUUCAAGACUCUAUUUGGCUGGGGAGAGAAAGAGCAGAAUGGCAAGUUGACAAAGAUGUCACCAAGUCAUCAACCCACAAGAGACACUCCCCAGGAAGCUGUGUAAGAAGAGCAUGCUCAGGAACCUCCUGGCACUACAGAGCACUUUUAUCACAGGGGACUUCAGGAGUCCUCCCACCUUCCCACCACAGGGCCCAGUGCAACCUGCUGGUCUGUCAGGUGGAGAAAGUGAUGCUAUCUGCUCCACAGGUUGUUAAGCAGAGAUCCUAUCAUUUCUCAAAAUAAUAAUGACUUAGCAGCUAACAGCUACUUGGCACACUGUACCACACCCAUGGCCAAACACUUCCACUAAUCAUCCAUGACUAUCUCUAUUGGAAAGAUGAGGACCAUAUCUUUGUCCAAAGCCACCAGUCCAAUGAGAGAUGGAGUCAAGAUUCAAAUCCAGAAAUGCAAUUUUACAGGUUCUACCCUGAAACUGCCUUCAUCAAAAUGUAUACUUAAAAUAGUCACAUGAAUAUAACAUUCUCUUCUUCAUAGAGCCACUAUUUCUAUUAGUCUUCCAUUAUAUAGUACCUGCCACAUUGACAAUGUUUUUUUCUUUUGUAUUGAGGUAUUUGUUUUGCAGUUCUGAGGACUGAACCCAGGGCCUUCACAUGGAGCUACAUCCCCAGUUCUUUUUUAUUUUUUGAGACAGAGUUUCACUAAGUCUCUAAGUUGUCCAGGGUAGGCUCAGACUGUGAUCCUCCUGCCUCAGCCUCUCAGAGUGCUGGGAUUGCAGGCACGUGUCCCCAAGCCCAGCUGACAAUUUGGGGUACUGUUGGAAUAUCUGUAUAGUGGCUGCCUGAUGCAUUAGAAUGGAACCUCCAAGAGGGCAGGGGCUGUGUCUUUCUGCUCAGCCUGGGUCUCAACCUUUAACGCAGCAUUCAAUGCAUAGUAAGUGCUCAAUGUGUAUCUGAAUGAAUAAAUGAAUGAAUGAGUACAUGAAUGAAUGAGUCAGAGUGAGAUGUAAAGGUAGCUUGCUUUGUCUAUCAGCAUCCACCACCACUCAGAAGCCCCAGGCUGCUUACCUCCUCCAGUGUGCUUCCUUUCCAAAUCAUUCAACUGGAUUUUCUGCUGGGCUUCUUCCAACUGUCUCUCCACUUCUCCCAAAUUCUUCUGGACUUGUUCAUACUUGUUCUGGAAGAAAGGCUUCAAGGUCUGCCAGGGUUUGGAUGUUUGAGUUUGGUUCCCAAGAGUUUGGGGGAGCUUGGUACCCAAUGGGAUGUGAAGUGGUGGAGCCCAGUGAGAGGUUGAUGGGUCACUGGGGCAAGGCUCAGAAUGGAUAAAGGCAGGUCUUUUGGGACUCUGAGUUCUUACAAGAAGGCUGUUAUACAAGCAGCCAUCCUGGAGCCACCUCUUCAUUCUGGCUUCCUGUCUGGCCCUGGGAUCUCUCUCUCUUAUAUGUCCUCCCUCUAUGAAGUCAUCUGCAAUUAGGCCCUCAGUAGCAGCCAAACCAAUAGGGAUGCCCAAUCAUGGACUCUCAGCCUCCAAAACUGUGAGCUAAUAAACCUCUUUUCUUUCUAAAGAAACCUGCAUCCGAUAUUUUGUUAUAGUAACAAAAAUAGACUAAUGCACAUCCAAACUGAAGUUGGAUAGAAGUUAAAGCUGGCCAUCUCAUUAUGGUACUUCUAAAACGAUGGCUUAGAAAGAUUCAGAAGUCACCUGGAACCUUCCUCAUGAAAGUCAGUCAACUGCAUGUCUUGCUUAGGCAUAGUGAUCCCGAUGUGGGCACCAGGGAGCAGGACCAUCCACACCAAGCCACCCCAUUAGGCUACCCUAAGUGAGCACUCACUCUGAGCUCCUGGACCUCCCGGGAGGCCUGCAGCCGCUCUGCGCACACAUUCUCCAGCACCUGGCAGGCCACAUCACCUUUGAAGCGCUCGUCAGCCAGCUCUGUGGUCAAGUCAGCAAUCUGGGGGGAGGGGUGCUGGUCAUUCACCGGGGACACCAACCCUCCUCCCUAUGCACACUCCACAGCACCACCUUGGACAAACCACUAGUUGUCAGGGAAAAGCAGCCCCUGAAGCAUAAUCAGAUAAAGCACAGACCUUAGGACAUU
rnacentral:lncRNA from 1 species